CUUAGGGGAUGUUAGCCUAAAACCAUCGCAUCCAUGCGAUAACGGCUAACUGAUCUGAUCAUGCAGG
rnacentral:sRNA from 1 species